UCAGUGCACUCCAGUUAAUAUACCAACAAAUCGGGAAGGCAUCUAAUUUUACCAAAGUUCCUUUGAAUCGUUCGAACGGUUUCGUAUUUCUAAAAGAAGAGAAAAGAAAAAGCUGUGAUUUUACAACGCUCUGACACCCGAAACAAUACCGCACCCUUAUUCUCGAAUAUGAAACUGAAUCGACAAUCCAAAAACAACCGCGGAGAACUUUUUCACUACUCUGACGAAGUUUUUUCUUAUUCGCCAUAAUUCAGGUUAGAUGGAAAUCUUUGGCAUUAAAUCAUUUAUAUCGCGAUACGUGUCGUUCGUGCAGUUUCUGGUUAAAUAAUAAAAAUAUAUGUAGAUUCGCGAAAGAAUGUCGGAAAUAGGAACGAAUGAACGAAGAGAAAAGGAAAGAAACACGGAAUUAAAUAAAGAAGGAAGAUACAUAAAUAUUUGGACACGAAAGAGAGGGGGAAAAAAGAAAAUUAACUGUCGUUCUUAGUGUUUUUAUAUAUAAAUAUAUAUAUAUAUAUAUAUGUUACGUUUCAAUGUACACUACGAAUUGUAUCGAUGAUACGAUACGUAUAUGAUAAUAUAACAAUAAUAUAUAUAUAUAUAUGAAUGAUAUAUCGUUAAAUGGGCUGUGGUAGAAACCUUUAUAUACUUUAUACACCGGACGAGUCGGAUCCUCUUGUUUCGUUUGUCUUUCGAGGGUAAUUAAAACACAAAUUAUAAUCGAAAAGAAAAGAAAAAAAGAAAAAAAGAGGAAGAUAUAAAGAGAACGAAGGCAAGGCGUAUGUGCAUACAUGGGAGAGGUACGGCAUCAUUUUACAAAAAGACGCUUCAGUCGUUUUGAGUGCGUAGCCACUUGUCCUAUAUUCUGUCACACAACGAUUACCUUGCACAAAAUGUACCUAAUUAUACUUAAUAGUAGGAUCCGUCUUAAUGAUUGUCAAUAAUACUGUACCUAUCGUGCCCGUGGACACGGGUAAAUUAUGAUAUUAGGCUAUAAGGGCUGUAAGGCGUAACUAUGAUUAGAUAGAAGAACCCAGUCAUUGAAACAAUGUAAUUGUAAUAAUGCAUCUGCUUCGAAGGUGCACACUUUGCAGAUAAUGCUGCUUCGUACAUACCUAUAAUUAUUAAGGAUUAAGUAGACAGGACGGGACACGGGACGGUUCAUAUUGAACCGCGUUGGUAACAAUCGUCCUAACGUAAUAUUUAAUCAUCUAAUUCAUUCGACGUAGUUUUAAAUAAUUUUUCUUUUUCUUUUUUUUUUUUUUUUUUUGUAAUGUUAUUAUUGAUGAACAUUGUUGAAAUAUACAUAUAUAUUUUUCUUUUUAAAUACCCCACGUUCAUUGUAAACUCAUAUUUAAUUAAAAUUUUGACGAAAAUGCUUUGAAAGCUUUUGUAAUCUCGUUUUAAGAAUUUGGGCAUUAAUCGCUUCGUUGCAUUGCUCGAUUCGAGCAGAUAGUAUGAAUAAUUUAUCAGUAUUGGUUUUCACAGCCGUCUUUUGAUUAAUUUUAAUAAUAUAAUUGUUUUGUUGAUAUUUCAUAGUUUGUUUUUUUUUUUCUUUUUAAUUUUCCUGGAUACUUUCGUGAAAGGUUGCUUUCCUAGUGGAUCUUCGAAGCAGCGUUGCAUCGAUAAUCGUUUAUAUGGAUGUCAUAGCCUUAGUUUCGCUAGUUGAAGAGACGAAAGAAUGUUUUAGACCCUUGCUCAAUAAAUAAAAUAUUAAUUUCGA